GCCGUGAGGUGUUGCCUUAAGUGGCGCAACGAGCGCAACCCUUGUCCUUAGUUGCCAGCGGGUAAAGCCGGGAACUCUAGGGAGACUGCCGGGGUCAACUCGGAGGAAGGUGGGGAUGACGUCAAGUCAUCAUGCCCCUUAUAUCCAGGGCUGCACACAUGCUACAAUGGCCGGUACAAAGGGCUGCGAUACCGCAAGGUGGAGCGAAUCCCAUAAAGCCGGUCUCAGUUCGGAUUGGGGUCUGCAACUCGACCCCAUGAAGUCGGAGUCGCUAGUAAUCGCAGAUCAGCAACGCUGCGGUGAAUACGUUCCCGGGCCUUGUACACACCGCCCGUCAAGUCACGAAAGUCGGUAACACCCGGAGCCGGUGGCCCAACCCUUGUGGAGGGAGCCGUCGAAGGUGGGAUUGGCGAUUGGGACUAAGUCGUAACAAGGUAGCCGUACCGGAAGGUGCGGCUGGAUCACCUCCUUUCUAAGGAGCAACUGGCACGUACACGGUCUCGACCGGUACGUGUCCAGAGCUGUUGGCGGAUACCGCCCCGUUCGGGGUGGUCAGAACGCAACAGAAGCUCAAGGGUGGAACACUAACUAGUUCGCCGGAAGCGGUGAGCGUCUCGUCAGUACGGAACUCCUUGUGGGUACUGGAACCUCGAGCGCGAUCUGCGUAAGGCGUAGGCACACUGUUGGGUCCUGAGGGAGUGGGCCAUCUGGUCGCACCCUUAGUCGGACCGCCGGGGUCCAGCGUUCGCGCUGGAUCCUUGGCAUGUCCGGGUCUGACACAUCGGUCACCGAACGGCCCCGCUGCGGCGAGGAACGCGGUGAGAAGCCGAUGUCGUCGCCCGUACCUUGAGAACUGCACAGUGGACGCGAGCAUCUUUGUGGCCAAGUUAAUAAGGGCGCACGGUGGAUGCCUUGGCACCAGGAGCCGAUGAAGGACGUAGGAGGCUGCGAUAAGCCUCGGGGAGCUGCCAACCUAGCUGUGAUCCGAGGAUUU
rnacentral:sRNA from 1 species